rnacentral:rRNA from 1 species
AUUGAACGCUGGCGGCAGGCUUAACACAUGCAAGUCGAGCGGAGUGAUGGUGCUUGCACUAUCACUUAGCGGCGGACGGGUGAGUAAUGCUUAGGAAUCUGCCAUUUAGUGGGGGACAACAUUCCGAAAGGAAUGCUAAUACCGCAUACGUCCUACGGGAGAAAGCAGGGGAUCUUCGGACCUUGCGCUAAAUGAUGAGCCUGAGUCGGAUUAGCUAGUUGGUGGGGUAAAGGCCUACCAAGGCGACGAUCUGUAGCGGGUCUGAGAGGAUGAUCCGCCACACUGGGACUGAGACACGGCCCAGACUCCUACGGGAGGCAGCAGUGGGGAAUAUUGGACAAUGGGCGGAAGCCUGAUCCAGCCAUGCCGCGUGUGUGAAGAAGGCCUUUUGGUUGUAAAGCACUUUAAGCGAGGAGGAGGCUACUAGUACUAAUACUACUGGAUAGUGGACGUUACUCGCAGAAUAAGCACCGGCUAACUCUGUGCCAGCCGCCGCCGUAAAAC